AGGGCAGGGAGCCUGCAACUCGGGUAGGUGCCCUUGCCCGGAAUGGAACCCGAGAUCCUUCAGUUUUCGGGCUGUUGCUCUAACCACUGAGUCACGCUGGCCAGGGCUUGUCUUGAGUUUUACAUCCCAAGAGCCUCAGCUUUGGGGAUGGGGCUGGGGGCCUCAGCACAGGCCUGGACAGAGAGGGGGCUUGGGUAGACUGGGGGAUGGAAAGGGCAUGCCAGGCGGGGGCCAGACUGAAACAAGGCUUGGAAGUGGGGAGGCCAGGACCAAGUUCGGGAGGCAGGGUGUUGAUGGGACAGUCAGAGAGGGUGGAAGGUGACCAGGUUGACCCAGAAGGUUCAGAAGUGGGAGGAAGAUUUUAAGAACCUCUGUGUUCCUGCAAACCUGAGGAAAGGGUUUGACACCUUCCUCUAAUUCUUCCUCAGAAGAAAGGCAAGCGGUUGUGUGGAGGGUGGGGACAGAGUCGCCCCGUCCGUCCCCCAAGCAGGUGAGGAGAGCCAUGUGCUGUGAUGGGGGAGCCCUGGGAGGGACCCAGCCUUUCCCCAUCUGCCGGGGGCCUCGAGUUCCACCCUUAGGCCAGGCCUUCGGGUUCGGCACUGCCCUCUUCCCGAACGUGUUGUGUUUUGUUUUGAAGCGGCUAUUGCAAGAAGGGGAGGGGAGAUGACUUGCUUCUUGUUGAGUUUGCUGACAGCAUCUGACCUCUGGAGGAAGUUUUUUUUGCAGGAAGGGUGAGGCCUAGCCCCCUGGGCACUGACCAGUCCACUGACUGAGUUCAGCCACCCCCUUGGUCCAGGAGGUCCUAAGAUGCCGGCCCACACACAGCUCCCCCUGCAGCUCCAGGCCUGCUCAUCACAGAGCACAAGGACCUGUCCCAGCCAGAGAGGCCUUGGGGACCUAAGACCUCGAGGCCCAGGCUGAGGGGCCACCAGGCCAGCCUGGGCCCCGCCAUGCUGUCCCUCCUUGGUGCCCUGGGCCAGCCCAAGUGCUGAGUUGGCGGCUCAGCAGCUGCUCCUGCCCGCGGAGGCCCAGUUAUAAAUAAGCCUCGUGUGGCCGAGUCAUCAGUUCUGUCUCAGCUGCGUUACCUCAGUGACCACAGCACGGGGCUGCCCAGAACUGGGCCCAUCAGAACCUGCCCACCCGGGCCAAAGGCCGGACAGGCCUUGACGCCUCCUGGGGUCCCCAAAUCCAGGGUUUGUGCAUCUGCAGUGACUCAGACCUGGGCCUCCCUGGACACAGGCCACAGAAGGGGCAGGGCCAUCCCGCCUGCACGGAGCCAGCAGCUAUUUACAAACCGAAAGGGGAGGAGUGAGUGGCUGCGGCCAAAGUGGCUCCAGGCCCCAGCCCCCACUCCCACUCCAUCCCCAGCAGCCCCCUCCCCCCUCCCCAUGGCUUCCUCUUUCCUUCCCCACACAGCCCCCCAACCUCCCACUGCUCGGCCAGCUCUCUCUGGAAGACCUGGAGGCGCCCGACAGUGACCCUCAACCCCACAGCGGCCAGCCUGCAGGUCCCCUUCUCCCCUCGACCCCAGGACCCCAGUCGUUGGGGCUCCUGAGAGCAGCAGCCCCUUCCCACGGGGCCCAGCCCACCCUGCCUGCCCGAGGCACAUUCCCACAGUCUCAGUUCCCCUUCGUGCUUGGAAAAGCUCCAACCCCAAUGGCCGCCACCAUGCGGCCGGCCUUGCCUGAGGGUGGCUUCUCGGGGUGCCCUCAACCUGAGGCACGUGGGGACUGUAGGGGGCCCGUUUCUGGGUAGGAGGCCCCAGCCACUGCUCUCUUCGGGCUGGUGUGGGUCACAGGCCCCUCUCACGGUGCAGAUCUGAGCGGGACAGAUGGACACGGCCCGAGACCACAGCACACCCCGCUUAGGAAAUGGCAGGCAGGGUGGUGCCGCAGCAGUGACUGCUCCAAGGAGAGAGAGCAGGGGACAGUCCGCACACGCAUCACUGAUACUAGACCAGUGCCCUCCCUGUGGUGCGGAGGGUGCAGUUACCGCCAGCCAGUUCGUCCUGGAACAAGCCUAUCCCUUAAAAAGUGGACACUGAGGCUGAGAGAGGGAACUGGGUGCCUGAGAUGACGCAGCUGGCAAGGUCUGGACUGAGCUUCCAGAUUUCCAGACACCCUGUCCCCUUCUCUCUCCAGCCGAUGGCCCCCUUGCUUCGGCUCGGACCUCAGGCUCCCUACUGGGAGGACAGAGUCGCCCAGCACUGGGACCGGCAGCAGUGGCUGACCUGAAGCUUGAGGGGAAGCAGGCCUUGGACAGCAGCGCUGUCAGAUGGCCGUCCCUGGCCAGGCCACCCAUGCUCAGGACCCUCUGCCCGGCCUGGAGGGAAGACUCUAACUGCCCCGUCCCUUUCCUCCCGCCAAGUCCAGGUGAGGCAAAAGGCCGGGCCCGAGCCCCGCGCAGCCACAGCCGGCUGGCUGAUGGCCACCUAACCUCUCUGAGCCUCUGAAUCCUUUUCUGUGAAAUUGUUAUUUCACAAACACCGAGCUGAGGACAAGCUGUCUCUAAAGCUAGGACAUGGCCCUGCCCACAGGUCUGUGGGGAAGGCAGGGCCCCUCCUACCCCUUCACAAGGUCCCGACUCCAGACCCGAGGUCUUUUUUCAGCCUGGCUUGCCCCUGCCAAGACCUAGUUGCUCAGACAGGGUGAGAGAGAGGUGUGUGUUUUGCGGGGGAGAGGGGGGCUGCUGUCUCAGGGUUCUCUGGCCCCUGCAUUUCUCAGUUUUCCCCCAGGAGACUGUGGAGAGGCCUGGGUGGGAGCUCUGAGGGGCUGAGGCUGCAGAGAGCCGGAGCCUCGGAGACAGAAUAACGCCGUCCUCCUCCCCGGGGGACACUGGGCCUGCGCCUCAUUCACAAACAUCACACGUGCUGUCUGAUCUCAUGCUCACAGCCAGUGGGAAGCAUCCUAUUGUCACCCCAUUUCACAGACGAGGACGCCGAGGCCCUGAGAAGUGACUGGCCCUCAGCUACACAGCACACGGAGGAGGGGACAGGAUUCCAGUCAAGGGAUGAUGGUGGCACCAACUUGAGACUUGAAGAAGAGAGACUGUGCCUCGAUCUGACGCCUCCCUUCUAUCUGGAGUCAAAACCCAGCUCCACACAGCCCUCCCCAAGGCCCACCAGACGCAGCCCCUCACCUCUCCCCUCACCCCACGCGGCCCCUCGCGGCCUGGUUCCUGCCCCUGCCUGGCGUGGGCCCUGGCUGCUCCCUCACCUGCUCUCAGGUCUGUCUCAGGAGGCACACCCUCCGCCCUCUUCAAUGCCCCCCCCACCCCCACUUUCUAACGUGCAGGGGAACGUCUCAGCGACUCUGCUUAUCCCUGUGGCCUGCUCCAGGUCAGCCCCAGGCAGGGGUCUUCGCCUGCGUGGGGCAGGCCCCCAGGGCCCCCAGUGAACAUUUGAUCGAUGUCCUAAUGCACUAGAGAGCCAGCGGGGCUCUGCCCAGCGCCCCAGAGCUCUGAGGGGCCCAGGCGACCGAAGCUGGGGCUCAAGGAGCCUCUCCCAGUGUCUCAACCGUGAGAGGAAGUUGCAAGACGGCCAUUUCUGUACAUGGGCUCACUCUGUUUGUCAACUUUCCCAGCUCGCGGUCGAGGCCUGAGUUUUCACAUGCC